UACGAAGGGGGCGAGCGUUGUUCGGAAUUACUGGGCGUAAAGGGCGCGUAGGCGGCGACUCAAGUUAGAUGUGAAAGUCCUGGGCUUAACCUGGGGACUGCAUUUGAUACUGGGUUGCUUGAAUUCGGGAGAGGAUAGCGGAAUUCCCAGUGUAGAGGUGAAAUUCGUAGAUAUUGGGAAGAACACCGGUGGCGAAGGCGGCUAUCUGGACCGACAUUGACGCUGAGGCGCGAAAGCUAGGGGAGCAAACAGG
rnacentral:rRNA from 1 species